ensembl:snRNA U2 U2 spliceosomal RNA
AUCGCUUCUCGGCCUUUUGGCUAAGAUCAAGUGUAGUAUCUGUUCUUAUCAGUUAAGUUUAACGGAUGUUAUGGGCAGACUUCUG